GUGUGCUGUGGCUCAUGUGUGGGAGUCAGUCGCUGGCCCCUGCCCCUGACGUGUGUCCAGGACCAAACUCAAGUUGUGAGCCGUGCACCAUGGAGGACCGGGUGCCCUCACCUGCCAGGCCAUCACUGAGCCCAGGACCCAUCCCAGCAUCCUCAGCACCUACUAACACAACAAUAAAACUCUGAUAUCCUGGGUUUGUUCUUUAAAAAAGAAAAAAGACAAAACAACAGGAGCCUGAGUAGAGCUCCUAGCUAAUCUGUUAACAGAUUUUGUUUCUCAUUCGGAACUGGGGGUGUAUGUUUUUAGCAGAACAAUUUUUACUAUAACUGUUUGUUAUUUUGUUAAUCAUUUCCUGGUUUUAUAUUUUAGUUUACUUUUCAUGUUUUGUCAUCUUUCUCCCAUUGUCUCUUUUGCUUAUUCAUAUCUUGUAACACAUUUUUCAGUAGUAACAGGGAAUUAACCUAAACCAAACAAUGGCUUUUUUUCUAUAUUUAGCCCUGAAUAAUAACAGUCAUGGUAUCAGUCCUCUUCUAGGAGGGAAAGGGUGUCGCCCCUACUGUCUACCCAUAAAGGCUAGGAAUAUUCAAAUGAACUUUAAACGAUCACAUAAUGGAAAAGACAUUUCAUAAGUGUUAAGAACUUUAAACAUACACCACCUUGAAAUAUAGCUGUAAAAUGCACACAGCACCCUGGAGGGGGGCGUUCGCUCAGUGGUCGGGAGUUUCCUCCCGAGUCACAGGAAGUCCCAUAGGCAGCCUCCAGGGAAGCGGCUGUGGAGGACAAGGACUCUGGACUGCUCCUUCUGUGAGCGCUUCUUGUCUCGUUUCAUACGGUGGCUGCUGUGUUCUCAGGCAUUGAUUCUGCAUUCUAAGCACAAGAGAAGGAAGCCACAUGCCAGCUGAAUUAAUCUUGAAGUUGAAAAACAGUAGCAUUUCAGGAAACCCCACCCAACACCCUCCCUUUCAGGGGCCCUUUAGGCCUCAGCUAGGACACAUGGCCACUUGUGGCUGAGAGAGAGGUUUGUUUGCUUGUUUAUUUUUAGCCUGAGUGCCUUGCCAUCCUGCACCAAAUUAAAGUCAUCACGAAGAGAGAAAGUCCAGACUGUAUGAGAAUCUGAUCCUGUGAUGGCAGUAUACCCAGCAAGAAGAUAGCACCUCCCAGGGUUCCUUGCAACUGAGGCUGGUCAUGUGUCCCACAAAGGAUGCCCAGGAGAUGUCUACAGAGAUUAUUCAUAAGGCUUCCCCCUGCCCUUUCCUGUCCCAGGAGGGUAGACAUGGCAGCUGAACUCUGGCAGUCACUCCCGAGACCAGCGGUGAUGAAGACUUCUAUAUUAUAAAAAGUUUGUUCAAGCCGGGCGGUGGUGGUGCACGCCUUUAAUCCCAGCACUCAGGAGGCAGAAGCAGGCGGAUUCCUGUGAGUUCA